GCUCAUUGUAACAGAGGUGAUUAAAAGCUCAGCAGUCUUUAUGUUACUCUAAACUGUGCUUCCUCUGACAGGAGCAGACUUGUGAUGGCUUUCAGGGUCUCAGUUCAGUUGUCUGCAGUGAUCUAGGAGCACUCUGAGCACAAUGUGAGGCACUGCUGUAGCUGCUUGGAAUCAUAGCAUCGAGGAGCUGCAGCUCUGCCAAUAAGUACUGUUCCACAGGAAGUCUGCAAGUGGUUGUAACUGAAAGACUAUAACAAGGAAAAACACCUGAGGCGGAGCCACAGUUGCAAGGUAAGACAUGAUUUUCUUGUUAAUUGAAAUGUUCAGUUAAAAUUUCUCAAAGGAUUAAAGCAGUAGGAAUAAUUACAAGUUCUGUUAUUUCUUCUUGCUGAAAUUUGUCUGAAUAGGCAGUUUCAAAAGUAUUAAUGGCAUUUGCUGUGUUUAGAGACCACAACCACUCAGAUCUGUGGAUCCAGCUCCAAAAAAACAAGUGUAUAUUGAAAGGCAAAUCAUUGAGAUUUGUCUUUUCCAAGUAGGAUUUUGAAUUUUCAAGGCCUUAAUGUUUUAAUCAAUAUUUAUUUUGUUUUGUAUUUGUUUCUUCAAAAUUUCAUAUGGUCCUUAUAGAGUGAGAUAAACACAUUCUAAAAAUAAGAAAUUGCUAUCAUUUAUUACUAUUGUGUAGGAAAAAAACCGCACUGCUUGUUUGAAUUCUUCCUUGGAUCUGUUUGCUACCUCCUUCUCUGUCCCUUAUUCCCAAAUAUCAAUUAUGCUGUUACCCAAGGCAACGGUGCCUUAAAUUCAUAUUAGUGUUAUUAGUGAGCCAGAAUAUUUCCCACACUUCAUUUUUGACCUGAGAAUAAAAAUUCUUCUCACAGGUCACUUCAAAAUCAUGCACUGUGAUCGGAGACUAAAAUUAAAAAAUAAUUAAAUGAUAGAGGCUGGACGUGGAUAAACUCAAAUCAUUGUAUUAGAGCUAGGAGCUCCUAUCUGCUAAGUGUCUGUCUUAUUACAGAAACAUGUUCUUGUCAUUACACUUACUUUUGCUGUGUUUCCCCUGCUUUCACUCGUAUUGUCUUCACUAUGAGCCCUGGUCGACGAGUGCCUUUUGUCCAUGGUAUUAUGGUUUGAAACUUGUCCCAGAUAUUUUUCCAAACUGCAGUUCCUUCCCAUUUAAACUUGAUCAUUAGUAGCUCACCAAUAUCAGUGUCCAGUGUGAUGAGAAAAGAGUAGGUUUUAUUCCCAUUAAUUCCUUCAAUUCUGCAGAAAUCAAAAAUAGAAUAAUGCUAUCUCUAUUAUGGGUUGAAGUUUAUUUAAAAAAGUAAACUAUUUUCUUUGAAAUCAAAGAAAGAACUGUUCCAAUGACAUGUAAUGUCAAUACUCACAGUGUGAUGGGCAGGUUUUUAGCAUCCUCCUUAGUGCCUGUCAGAGACAUGCUAAAACUUGGGUCUAUCUUCUUGCCUUGAAUUUCAUUUAUGAAGUGGAUCUUGAACUGAUAGUGAUAGACUGUAGAAAGGAGGAAUUUACAAAGUGAUGAAAUGAAUGGUCAAAGAAACACUCGAUUUCUCAGACAUAAGACUGUCUUUCAAAACAGGAAUUUGAUUGAUACAUAUAUUUUAUUUUAAAACAAAUCUGUUGCAAUUAAAGCCUAUAUAUGUAUUUAUCACUGAUGUGUUGUAUUAGAGCUUGGGGGCCCUACUGCUCUUAAAAACAUUGAAGAGGGUAAAACGGUCUCCCAUGGGGAAUGUUUUUGCUCUUCUGAAAUUUAAUCGUUGGAAUGUCUGGCAAGCUCUGUCCAACCAGCAGAGGAAUCCUUCUGACUGGACAUGUUUAGAGGUGUGCAUUAAAGACUGAAGAUCUUAUAAGAUGUUGUCAGACUUUUUCUCUGGUUAGAAAAUCUCCUUGCAGAACAAAAGACUUUCCUUGGCUUAAUAAUAAAACAUUGUGCUUAGUAUGCAUCUGUUAACAAUAUGACUUUGUUCAAUCACAUUACUGUAAGAAAGAUGUCAUCAGUGCUUUGAGGUUUGGUGGUUUCUCCAAGAAUUGUGUUUAGGAAAGUCUUUGAACUGAAGAUAAUGGUAUGCUUCUGAGAAGGAAGAAUGACUAAGGAAUCAUCAGUGUACUGAUUACAAGCUGUUUGGCAUUUAGAGAACUACAAGACACAAAGAAAAUACCCAUACAGUUAGAGGCCUUGUGUACACAGGUAUUACCAUCUAGUUUUGAAUGUCCAACACUUUUCUGUGUAGCACGUCUACCAAAAGAAAAGAUCUGGCUGUAGCCACUUAAAUGUACCAUGGAAAAGUUACUGUUGGGUGAUAAUGUCACUUAGGUAUUUUCAGCUUGACAAUACCCACGUGUGGUGGCUCUUCAUCAACUUUUGACAUCAGCAUCAGAUCUAUUAUUUCCUGCUGAAAAAUUUCUUAACAACCAUCACUGCAUUUUACACACCACUUAUCAGGGCAUACUAUUUGUAGCUCUAAUUCAUCACUGUUUUAUAUUGACAAACAUAAAAAUAAAACCAGACAUGCAGUGACAAUGGAGAUUUCUAAAGCAAGGUGGUGUUAGUCAGCUCUAAAACACUUCUGCAGUGUGGAAUGUGGUUUUCCCAUCUGCAAACUGCCUCCUUGCCCACAACUGUUAGGUUUAGAUAUUAGGGAGGAAAUACUAGGUCAUUUUAAUUGACAAAUAUCAGAAAGUAUUUGGGAGAAUUAGUAGGUGAUGAUAUUUAUCCUUGCAAUGUGUUAAAACUGCACAUGGGAAACUGUUCUGUUAAACAUUAUUGCACCGUGUGUGUGUGUGUGUGUGUAUACAUAUAUAUAUACAUAUAUAUCUGCAUAUAUAUGUAUAUAUAUGUAUAUAAACAUCAUAAAUGCUUUUGAGCAGAAAGAUGCUCAAAAUGACCUGCUCCAGGCUUCACACAAUGCUACCACUGCCCUGUCGUCUUUUCCUGUAUAUGCACAGAUAGACCUUUGUGCAGCUCUUAGCUUCCACAGUGGAAGCUAUUUGCUAGAAAAACUAUGUAUUUUUUGUUGUUGUUUCAUAACUUACUGUAUGUUAAAGAACAAUUUUUUUUCUUUUUAAAAGUUACCACUUAACAGAAAGCAAAAUGACUGGUUCUUUGCUGCCAGCCAGAAACGCAGACCUGACAAGGACAAAGAGUAUAGAAAGGCUUGUUUACAAAUCACUUCUUGCUAUUCUGUCUUGAUCUGGGUUUGCUCUUACAAAAGUUGAGUGCUCUUACAAAGCCCGGUCUUGUGCUAUGCUUGUGAUACUCAAAGGAGAAAGGUGAGCAUGUUUAUAUAGAAACUUUGGUUGGCUCAGGGUCUCAUCAUGACUUUAUAAUCAUUAACUUCUUUGUAGCAAUUGUUUUUUCAUGUGUACACUCCAGAAUAUAACUUGAAAAAUGUCUGAUUUCAUGCAGAAAUACAGAGCAUUGUGAAACUUAAUGCUGAGUCCCUCAGAUUUCCUCUGUUUGGGUUUCUCUCGUGAUCUUCAAACUUUUUUUUUUUUAAGAACAUUACAAAGAUCACUUCACACACAGCCUUCCACUGGUGCCACCUUGUUUUGGAGCUUUUAUGAAAAGAAAUUACUGUGUGAGCAUUAGUUUUUGUCUGUUCCAUGCCCACCGCCCUCUGGUGAACCUUUCCUUACUUCCCAGCCUGACUCCCCCAGCAGAGCUCCAUGCCGUUCCCUUGGGCCCUGUCACUGUCACCAGAGAGCAGAGCUCAGCGCUCAGUUCACCAGAGUGACAGGAGAAAAGCCGGUGCAACAGCGUUCCCCUAGGUUUCGCUCCAGACCUGAAGAAUCCUAAGUUGCUACCAUGAGGAACACGUCCAAAAGUAUUUUAAAAGUACGUGGAUUGUAUUUUUAUGGGUUUUAUUCUCUGGUGUUGCAAUUGAGUAGCAGGCACUGCGUGUGGAGUUGAAGUGUGUGAUCCAAGCAGGUGCUGAGGGGGAUUCCUGUGUCCUGGGCCUGCUCUGGGGAAGGCGGGAAACUGACCGUGCUUUCCUCUGUGGAGAUACACAGUGUGGAUUGCCUCGCUGGACUUGGUAGUUAUACUGCUCUCUUGAUAAAAUAAUUUAAUGGUGAUAAACCCUAGACUGUCUCUUUGUUUUAGUGCCACAUUCUGGCCUGUGAAAGUCCAUGCUAUUCUGUUGACCACUGAAUGAAAAGUAAUAAUUUGUGUGUAGUACUAAUUUAUCUGUUGAGAAAGUACAGAAAAAAUAUGAGCAUAUUUGGAACGUGAGGCUUUACAGGCCUCCCAGAGCAGUUGUGCUGCUGUUUUGGCUUGGCUGCCUGCCUGCAGAUGCUGUGGCACUCACACAGGACAGCUGUAGGAAGUGCCUGUCACCCUAGCAGCUCUGAGGCCCAGAUUUGAUGUGAGGCCAUCAGGACAGCCUGCCAAGAUUCCUCGUUGUCUCUGCAAAUCGAUCAUCCCACAGAUUUUUAUGAGCUUUAAUAAAUGAAUAAUCGGGAUCACAAAGCCUAGACUUGUUACCACACUUCAUAAUCAGGGUGGAGACUAUAACAAAUAUUCCCACACACCUUUGAAAGGCAUACGUGCUCUUGUUUUCAGGAAGAGUUUUCUACUUUUUGGGAGCCGUUCCUCCCGGAUGUUGUAGCCCAGGGUGUUGCACCGGUUCUUCCUACAGCUGAGGCACAAUCCUUUGUCAAAAGUGUUGAUGUCGUUGCACCAGUAUGCUGUGCUUUGCUUGUCCUCGUGAAGCAGAGAGUCGAUGAACAAGUGAACUGACCUCUCAUGGGCACAUUUCACAGUUUGUGUGAUACCUGAAAAUACACAAACAGUACUUUUGUUGUUCCUUUUUACUGUUCCAGCUACAGAGUAGCCAACUGUGUAUGUCACUGUGCUUCCCCCACCCCUCUCACUACUGAAUAUUUUGUUUCAGAAGUCAUACAUGCAGCAACAGCACUUUCAGGAUCAUCCAAAAUAGUUUGGCUGAACCCACAUGCUAAUAAAACUGAGUAAUUUGCUGCUUACAUUUGUUAAGCCUGCCUGCACAAGGCAGUAAAUAUCAGCCAGGACAGUGCAAUCAAGUUUCAUAAGUUAAUUAAUGAAUUACAAUAUGAGGCUACAUGCAGCCUUUCAGAUCGUGCUGUACUCAAGACUGCUGUCAAUGGCUGAACACUGUUGACUUUUGGAUGUUUACAUAACGUCAUAUUUUGUCCCCAUCAGAGUUAACAGGCUCUAAUGUUGAAUUUUCCCUUCAGCUACAACUUGGAGAAAGGGCACAAAAAAUGUAUGAAAUACAUAAUAUUUACUAAAUACAUAGAUGUGCUUUUAAGAUUAAUGUGUUUUCUUUUCUAAAACAAAAUUUUACUUCUAAAAAUUUCAUAUCAAAUUAUGGAAGUUAUUUUCUUCUGUGUAAUUUGAAUAUACCACGAUGGACUGUUUUUACAUGACUUCACUGUUAAGAUUUCUAUAUGAUGUCAUGAAUUACUGCUAAGAAGUAAGACCUACUUUUAUAUAGUGUAAUGAUAGUUGAGAAAUGUUUUGCAGUACAUAUGCUAAGUGAACAGCACUCUUGUUUGUUUUUUCAAUUAACAGUUCUGGUUGACACCACGCAUCAGUACCUUUAUCUUUUUUCAGUAUGUUGCAUUGUCUCUGUAUGUUUAUGUUUAGGUACUUUGGAAAUGGGCUUCUAUAUGUAUAAAAGCAGCUUGGAACGUUGACAGUGAAGUCCCAGAGAGAGCAUCACCCUCUGCAGCUGAAUGAUGGUGACUUGGGGAAAGGUGAAUUAAGGUGAGUGGCACAGCUUUGUGUUUUGGUUCAUUUGAAAUAACUAAUUGCACACUAGAUGAAUCUGGCUUAAUUAAAAUAUUUUUUCUCAUUUCCUCUACCACCAAAACAAAUACCUUCGAAAAUUAUUCAAAAGUUCUCAACAGCAGUGUACUCAUGGUCUUGUUUUCAGAAGUGCUAGGCAGCCACAUUCCUUAGUCAGUGAGAAUGAUUUGAGCUCAGUAUAUGUAAAAAUCUAUAACCAAUUUCUAGAAAAGAAACUUCUUUGUUUAUACUGGGAGAUAAUGCUCCCCAUUUGAUGCUGUUUUAGCACCAUAGAUCUAUGUGGUUUCCCAGAGACAGUGUAAAUCCAGCUGCAGUGCUGUUGCCCUUGCUGUCCCAAUUGUUCUUACCAGUGAUCCCAUAUUGUGCAAUGUGGUUAUACACAUGCAUGAAGUGACAGCCAGGCUGAAAGGUGCCUCCAUUGGGAUAAAAAUCGAAAUGGGCCACAGGCUGUUUGAUGCCAACACUGAGACCCAUGUGCUGUUUAGUGAAUGUAUGAAUUGCAUCUACGAAGUUUGCAUCAUCUGGAGAUAAACGGUCUGUUGGUGACAUUCCUUCAAACAAGGGGCCAGCGGGGUCAAGGCCUGCAACAGAAGCAAACAAUCCAAUUGUGAUAUAGUAUAGAUGGGCUUUUCUUGUACUGUUUUGAGAAAAAAUGUCUGAAAGAUAUUUAAAAACAUAGCACUUGAAAUCUACAAGGUCUUUCACAGACAGAAACAAUGCUAAGAACACUUGUACUGCAGAGGGUACAUGGAUACACCAAAAGGUAAAUACGGACAUAAUAAACAGUAACUGCUAUACCCACAAGGACACAGACUGAGAUAGAUGUGUUUGUUAUAGGUAAGCCAAGCUCGCUACUGCUUUGUCUUUUGAGAAAUGUUUACUUAAUUUUGUUCUUUGAUACUCUAGAGGUCAUGCGCUUCAGAGGCCCUUUUGAAAACAGCAGUCCUACAACAAAGCUGACUUUUAGCCUACAUUUGAGACUUGUAAUUUUUAAAGCUUCACUUCCCAGAAUCAUAGGUGCUGUGUAUAAUAAUUUUCAAAUUACUGCAGUACUCAGAAAAAUAACAUUCCAGUUAUGCAUGUUGUUUUUAAUUCACUGGGUGCUUUUGUAUAAUACCCUUCUUGGGAACUGAUUGCUGGAAAAAUACUUCCUGCAUAGUUCAAAGCUGCUGUUUAGCUUGGAGAACAAGCUUCUAAAAUUUCAGAUUCUUCAGUUGGUAGUAUGGACUACUGAUGUAGGUGCAUAUAUGUAACUGGACAACGCUAACAGCUGAGGCUUCAAGUAGGAUGACAAGGAUGUCUCCCUGAAGGCAUGCCUUUUCCUUUUAAUAGGUUGUGUCACUAUGAAUCUUUUGAGCUUAUUGUUACAAGACAGUAAUUGUUGCUAAAGAGUACACAUAUAAUAAAUGUGCCUUAAUCUUUUUGCUUAUCUGUUAUCAAGAUUUUGAUGUGUUAAUGUGUUUUGAAUAAGCAGUGCUAAGGAGCUCAAAUCCUUUGGUGUUGUAUACAGGUGUCAAUAUUGUGAUGUGUAAUGUGAAGCAAGCUUCUUGCCAUGCAGGCACCAUCACAAGAGUUGAUUAAGUAAGGGACUGGGGUAUAUGGUCAUGAAUCCAAGAUCAGAACAGGGAAACUAUUCCAGGGAGGUGACACACAGAGAGCUGGGGAAAGCAGCUGGAACUGGAGGUGAGAGCACUGAGUGCACCCAAGGAUGGGUGGAAGCUUGAAGAUGAUGUUUAUCUUAUCUCUAAUUCUUUAUCUGCAAUGGCAAACCCUAGGAAGGGCAUACAUUUGGACUUCAGAUGAUGAGUAAGUUUGGUCUUGGCCAUGUAGGAACAGAAUGUCAGACUUUAUAAGUUCAUAAGACCAAAUAAAGCAAAAUAGAUUUGUUUCAAGGAGAUAACUCAGCAUCUUCUCCUCCUCUGCAGAAUUAUUGGUGUGAUCAAAACCUUGGAUAUUAUUUUUUGCUUUAUUGAUGUUAUGGUGUGUGUGGUUUUUUUUGUUUGUUUCAUUGGUUUGUUUUUUUUCCUUUUUCUUACAUACGAAUUAACAUGUUUCUGGUCUCUUCCAGCAUUAUAUCAUGAGUCUACAGUGAGUCUACCUUUAAGGGCACGGUAGAUUUGCCUACAAUGUUUCAUUUAUUAAAAUAGAGUUGUACUUUACUUUGUUAAAUCUUCUCUCAAAACACACUCAAGUUGGUAUUUACAGUGUCUACAAUUGUAAAUGGCUUUGCACUGUAUAGUCUCAUUGCAUAUAAAAAUAUUAUGCAGGUGAAUUAAAUUGCCCAUACAUGUGAGUAUUUUAAUUUUGAAGAGAAUGCUCUUUGGAAAGGAGGCUACAUACAAAAGGUAUUUAGCUAGGGCAGGGAAAAGGCACAAUAAAUGCAAACAUUGGCCAGCAACUUUAGUUAAAAUUCCAGCAGUUGCUGCUGUGAUUAAGAAAAAUAGAAAUGAGGAGUCCUUAAUUCUAAUCUGAACUGACAUGCCAAAUAUUUGUGUAAUGUAGGAAAAGAAAUCAGUCAGGUGUUACAUUUAUUAAAAUAAUCUUUACCUGUAAUUCUUCCAAUCUUGUUUGUACCGCUGAUGUAACUACCAGCAAACCCUGAAACAUGAGCUCCUAGGCUGUACCCAAUUAGAUGAACAUUGCUCCUGGAAAACUGAAUGGAUUUCUGGAAGAAAACAGUAGUUUGAUUUAGAUGCAGAAAAUGCAACAAGUAAACUACUAAAAUGCUUAACUACAAACAAGGAAUACUGUGAGUUGUAACUCAAGAAAUUUGUAUGUGUGUUGAUGCUAAAGGUGAAAUGAAGUGCUUGGAUCAUGCACUAAAUUUCUUUGCCGGCUGAGUGUUAUUCCUUGCCUCCUUUGUUUGCAUCAGGAAAAUGCCCUGCAUCUGGGCACUUGAACUUUCAUGGUAUGCUCAGGAAAACCAUCGACUGUUUGUUGGAAGUGAUGCAAAUGGACACAAUGCAAAUGUGUGUAAGUGGUGACUCUGGCUCUCCUUCAUACCUGCUCUCCCUAACUGGGAACAUUGUCUAGUAACUUCUAGCCCUGUCAUUUCUGUUGAAGAGCAGUUUAGCCCUUUAGUGGUAUUGACUGCAAAUCUUUAUGCUUUGCAGCUUAUUUUCCUUCUACAACAGGCCCCACCAUGUUUAAAUUAAUGUAUUCAAAAAUUCAUAGUGAGGUGCAGAAAUAAAAUUUCAUUUCCAAUUAGGUAGCUUGAAUUAUUACUGGAGAUGGCUGAAAUAAGAGUUACACAGGGUGCACAGUUCAUGUAUGUAAUUCUCUUUCUAGUGUUUUGCUUUCUGCUUUUUCUAAAAUAGUUCUGGAGACAAGCAAUCCCUUGCAGACUCCUCUAUAAUAUUUCCAUUCAGGUGGCUGCAGGUAUAGCUAAAACUGCUGUAAGAGACAGCCUUGUUCAUACCUAGUGGGAGUUUUGAUGAGUAGUCACUACAUUAGCAUGGCUCUGCACUCAUUACUGCCUCCAUGCCAUCUGCCUUGUUAUGUGUAUUUGUCCUCUUAAAAGGGCUCCUUUUAAACUUUGGAUCACCAAGCAAUUAUUUUAGAAUAAUCUUUGGGAAACAGAGGAAAAACAAACACACACAAAAAAAAAAACAACAGACAUGAUGUCACGCUUGAACUCUGAGCUAAGGAUAGAUCACAGGAACCCAUUUUGCUGAACUAGGCACUCACAAAUGAUCAUGUGCCUGCUUUCAAAGUACAGGACACUUGCUCUGACUUUCUUUUACUGACCGAGUUCUGAACUCGAAAUAUUGUUGAGUAGUUUAACAAUUUAGAGAAUGUCAGCUGUCUGCACAAGUGGGAAUUGAAAAACUGAAGUAGCGUGAAAUGAUCUCCCCUCUGAAGACACAUGGAAGUAUUCUGAUAAAAAAGACCACUUGCUAUUUUUUCUCUUACAUGGUAAAAAAUUUUUAUGAAAUCAUCUGAAAAUUUAUGGAAGAAAAAUUACAGGAUAUUGAAGAAACUUGAUUGAUUGAAAUGGAUAAGCAUUAACCAGUUAGUAUUUAUAUCUUACCUCCAGCCAUUCCACAAAGUCUGCUAUCUCCUGUCCUAUGUAGCGUGUGUUCUGUACAGCAAUGGGAUAGUGCUGGUGAGCAAAUGUAAGCCAAUCUGCAAUGAUCACAUUAAUUUGUUUAUGCUGAGACUUCAGAGCUGCUGCCAUUUUCCAAAUCCAACUUUCUAAAAUUCCAUCCACCUGUUUAGAUUAAAACAAAAAAACAUUAAAUGUAGUCUUAAGAGAAACCAGUGUCUACCAAGUGUUCUGUGUGAGAAGCUCAGGGAGAUGUAAGCCGUAAUACAAACGAGGAGGGCUAGUGCCGGAAACUAAGGUUUUUGAGGCCUUCAGCAUGUUUCAUUGCUGAGAAUCCUUGAUUUUUGGUGGACAAAAAAAAAAAAUCAAGAAUAUAUAUAAAUAUUUUAGGCAUGUGAUCUCUUAUCACUGAAAUGAUGUCCUUAAAUAUUUUCACUCAUCCCGGGAUAAUUGGGAUUAUUGAGUAAAAAGAGACAGAAAUACCCCAAAAGUUUAAUUUUUUUUUUUUCAAGAGCGGCUGUCCAUGUAAAUUUAUACUGAAAGGGAAGGGGAGGAAAGCUGAAAUGCUACAGACGUGUGAAUGUUUGCCUUUUACAGCUAUUCCAUUUUGAUAUCUAUUUUUUCUCUUUUCUCACUCUUUUUUCAAGGACUGCCUCACACUUUCUGUAUUAGCAUCUACAACUGCUUCCAAUUUGAUGAACCAGAAUUACUAUUUAAUAUUUCAUAGUUAAGAUGAGUGAGUUGUAUUUCCUCAAAUAACAGAACAUCCUAAUCUCUUCUGGUCAUUUGACAGAAUUUGGAAGUCUCAGUUUUGGGUUUCCAUUCAUGCUUCUCUGAGAGCAUAGUACUUCUGCACAUGAAGUUAAUGUGAAUGUAGAACGUUGAUGGCAGCAGCCUCAGCUCCAUAGUUUCUCUUUUAGAAGAGCAUAGGUUUUGAACAUAUUCCUGUGUGUGGGAGUAUUGGCUAAUGUAAUCUAGGGCAACUUUCCAUCUCUGCUGUUCUGUGUUGUAAGAGAGUUAUGUGCAUCAAGGGUGUUGCUCAAGGUUUCUCUGGUUGUAUAUUUGCAGUGGCAAAAGGAAGGUGUGUUUCACCUCUUAUUUGGUGGUACUGAUUCUAUGAGAAUCAGGUAUCUGUUCAAAUUAGAUGACUUCUUAUCUUGCCUUGUCUUUUGUUUCUUUUUCAACUGAGAAGCUGUUAAAAUUUCACUCUAGCACAGAAUGCUAUGCAAAUGAGCAAUUUUUUUUAAUUUUUCUCUUUUUUAACCAUUUAACUGGAAGCAGUUCAGAGAUAAUUCACUGACUUCUCAACUGAGAAAGCUUAUAGAGAAGUUCUCCCUGCAGGUGUGCCUGUGAGAAAGAUGUGGGCAGUUUGUGUGCACUUCUUUUCAAGAAGUCUGUAAAUACCUGGCAGUGAACAUACCAGAGAAAUGAAACCUAGUAUUCAGUCCUCCAGAGGCAUAGCACAUUAAUUCUGCUGCUGCUCUAACUCUGCUGGCUUUAAACCAGGGCUGAAACUAAUUCCUGGCAUGGGAUUCCCAUAAGAAAAAUGGUUUCUCAAGCAUUCCUUCAGAAUCUCAGUGGGCAAUUCCCACUUUUCAUUAUCUCUAUCUAUGAUUGCCACCAUCUUUGAGAUCCCAGUUUUCCUUCUGAAGUUGCUUUUGGCACUAGCAUAACGAGGGGGAAAGUAUAUCAAAUCAGAUGUAGUUUGAGUUAAAAAUAAAAUGUGUGUUCAUACCGACCAGCCAUGGACUAUCAUCACGAGAGGAAGAGAGGCAUUGAAACUGCAUUUGUCAAGAGUCUCCAACUGAUUAAACAAAAUCUGACAUGCUUCUCCAGUUGUAUCUGUAUAGAGUUGAAAUUUGGUUUCUAAGCUUUGCUGGUCUUUCUUUGUUCUAGAGUGCUGACUCUGUGAUCCCAGUGCCUCUGAAAUGAAAUUCAUAGUGAGUCAUAAUAGUAUGGAGUCUAAAACCUGAAGAAGUUACUAGUAAGACAGCUUGUAAGAUACAGUAAACUGUAAGAUCAAAAUUCAAAACUAAUUGUUACCUACUCCAGGUGGGCCUAAGCUGUGCAUUUUGUGUCCAAAAAAUUGAUUUAUAAUUUCAAAGCUUGAGAUAAAUAGAUGGAUUCAGAUGUACAUCUAUACUAUGCAAUAACAGUUGACUUCUAGACAACAUAAUGAAUGAUUCUUUCUCCCUAAAAAGAUUUGAUGACAUAUUCUAGUUGUAAAACUUAACAAACUCUUACAUUGAAGUAGCUUGGUGCAUUUAGAGUAGCUUUUUCAGAAAUGUCUAUUAAGUACCUGGGAUGGUAUCUGUCCUUAAGAAAGGAGUGGCAGGGUGAACUGUAGUCUCAUCAACAUUAUGAAUUGAGAAGGAAAAAAACAUUGAAUAUAGAGAGAUUGCUGAAAAAUGGGGUAUAAUAAAAUAGAAGCUUACAAAAAGCACACUGUCAUAAGCAAGUGUAGCAUUUCUUUCUGAUAAGACUUGAUACUUCUUAUUUUAUGUUGUUUAUCUUAGAUUUAUCCAGAUAAUAAAUUUAUUAAGUAUAGAAUGAGUGAGAAUUAGAGGAAGAAAUGUCAGGAUGUGAUGAACCAGGCAAAUGAGAGGCUACAGAUCUUUGAAAAGGAAACUUUUAGAGUGGAGAAACUGUUCUCCCUGGGGGCUAUUUUUUUGGCUAAUCACAGCGUAGUAAUUCAAUGUAAGAAGCUGUCAGGAAAGGUACAAAACUGACAAACAUUGGAAGGCAUUUGCUAAUGCUGCAGAGACCACAAAGUUAAACACGAACAGCUUGAGGACCUUGAAAAUACAGCAGUAGAAGCAGGUAGAAAUUUUAAAUUAUGAAACACAAGGUCAUACAGUUGAUAUGGAUGGCUCUGUAACUAGAGCUCAAAAUUGGAAGCAACAAAAGGGUAAAAAGACAAUGGUAAUAAAUAGCAAAACUGACUGAGUCAUUGCUGUGAUUUGGCUCUGAGAAAAGAAAAUUUUAUUCCAAGAUGCAUUAAAGAGAUGUUUUUGAUACGGAGAGAAUGUUUGUGCCAAUAAUACAUUUAGUAGCAGCAUAGGGAACAGUGUACAUAGCUCUUAUUAUCACCUUGAGGUCAUACCAUUUCAAGCUGCAACAGUGGCUCAGCAGCACCUCUGAAAUGGUCAUGGAGGAAUCAGUGCAUUUAAUGCAUGUCUGUGUUCACAGCAACUUCUUUGCUCAUAGAGGCUUUCAGAAUGCAUCCAAAAUCAUAAUGUAUUCUUUUCUGCAUUAUAUUUACAAAUACAUCUUGAUGCACUCUACAACAGUGCUCUAUUUUUAGCACACAAAGGAAAACAUAGAGAUUAUUUAACUUAUCUUCCAUUUUAUAUAUAUGCUUUCUUUGGUUUAUUCCUCAUUUUCACGUUCUCCCAGUGCCUGUUACAGUGCUUGACACUUUGUCGCUCUAUUGUUAGUACAUAUUUCAGAAAACAAUCAUGAAUAGCUGUUUUCUUUAUACAACCACUGUGAGAAUGUUUUGUGUUGUUUUUUACUUGCCAGUAAGUCUAAGAGAGGGAGUUAAAAAUAUAGUUUGAACUUCGUGGCUUUCAAAAGUGAAAAUUUUGAAUGGAAUCAAUUAUCAUUAGACAACUGCAUCGAGUUAUUAAUCCAUGUAAUGACUUGGAGAAGGAAAUAGUACCUAAAGAGCUUGAUAUCUUACAACACUUGCUAAAAAUGUCAUGCUUGUGACUCAAGACAUGAUCAAAGGCAACUGCAAAGUUUCAUAGGUAAGUCUGCAAAAACUGCAAAAUAAAACUGCUGAAUAUUUGUCAGUGCUUGUUGCAGCCAAGUUUGGAAGAUUUUUGGAAAAUUACCUCUUAGUCAGGUGAGUUGCUGUCUGACUGUAGAAUCAUGGAAUGGCUUGAGUUGGAAGGGACCUUAAGGAUAACCUCCCUGCUGUGGGCAAGGCUGCUACCCACCAGCACCUCCAGCGAUGAGGCAUCCAUGGCUUCUCUGGGCAGCCCGUUCAGUGCCUCACUACCCUCUGAGUAAAAAAUUUCCUCCUAAUGUCUAAACUAAAUUUCCCCUCUUAGUUUAAAGCCAUUCCCCCUUGUCCUGCCACUAACAAGCUAUGGAAAAGGUUGGUCUCCCUCAUUUCCUUGUUCUCUGUAGAUCGUAGUUCAACAUGAAUCCUUCAGAAAGGCAGUACAAUAUGGUCACGUUGAUCUGUAUGCUAACAUAAAUUACCUUCAUGCAGAACAGCAUGAAAAAUGACACAAAAUUUCAUGACUUCUUGGUACCCUGGAGGAAGCUCAUCCUUUCCUUAAUUUGUGUUAAUGAUGUGUCUGUGAGAUUCAGUAAGACUGCUUUUGUAAAUACCACUUAAUUGUAGUGUGGCAAAGUUUCUUCAUAAUUAUUUUGAGGUUAGUUUUGGCACGAAAUGACUAUGACUUGCUUUGUUUGUUUGUUUGCUGAAAAGUAAAACCAAAAGACUGAUUCCAGGUUUAACAAAGUGAACCAUUUCUACCUUUUUGAAUUUAAAAAAAAAAAAAAAGGAAAAAGUCUACAUUCCUGGUAAGAGUAGCUGUAGCAGCCACCUGAAUGCUAUGGUUAUUAGAAUGCACAAGAUAUAAAUUCAUUUAUUAUUUGCCAUUAUUCGUAUUUAAUUAUUACUCCUACUACUAGUGUAUUGCUUUAGGUGAUAGCAGUCCUGGUUAUAUCUCCUAACUAAGAUGGAAGGAACAUGUGAAGAAUAAUGAGGCCAGUAAAUAUGAAGAAACAAUAUUUUCUCCUCUAAAAGGAGGACUUGCGAAUACUAUAUGAUAAUAUAUAAUAAUAUGAUAAUUCCAUAUGGAAUAUACUUAGUGGAUUUGAACUAAAUUUUCCAUUUAGCUGUAGAAGCAGAUUAAUCCAGGAGAGUGACUUGGAUUGAAUCAUCUCAAAAGGUGAUCAAUUGAAUAUUUUACUGCAGAAUUUCUCAUUGUCUUUUGAAAUCUACAGGUGCAAUAUUGAAGUUUUAAGACUAGUGAAUGAAUACUGGAAUCUAGACAAAGGUUUGGACACUUUUCGUGGUGUGAAGCCAUAAAAUAUUGUAUGCUUUAUGGGCAAAGAGAUUGAGAAUCUAAAUAUAUUUCUUUCUAUAUCAUGUCUGAGUGGGCAUAAAAAUACCACACAUCUGUUUCAUGUCACAACAAAAUCUACCUAAAGAUGUGUCAGAAUGGCAAAAUAUUCUGAAAGUAUAUAAUAUUAAGAGAAAAAUUGUAGUAUUUGGUAAACCAUGUAUUUUAAAUUCAUCUCAAGAUACAGCAUUGAAAACUUGUAUUUAAAUUGACAUUCCCAAUUAAGUGAGGUAGUUUUUCAUGCUGAGAAAAAUGAUGUUCAGCUCCCUUCUUCAGGAAUAAUUUCUCAGUGAGAUAUUACUGAAAAGGAUUGCAGAGAAUGUCUCAGUGGCACUCACCUAAUCCAUAGGCAGUUGAAAAAGUAAGUAAGCUUCAACAGAAGCUGAACUUUGGACUCUGGAAUGUAUCACAGAGACCCUCAUUUUCAAUAGAUGGAUUUUUAUUGUCACUUAGAAGAUGAGGUAAUGACAGGGAUGUGUUCAGGUCCCUUAAUACAAUAAAUGCUUCCCUUAGAGCCAUUCUUGCUAAAAGUAUAGUUGUCAGUGUUGCAGUUGGCUAUAGGAAUACCACAUGUACUUAGCAUAUCCAUGUUUAUGAUUUUUCUUGCUAAAUUAAUAUUUUUCUUGUUAGUUUUGAAUACUGCAUUGCCCCAAAGCACUGAAAAGAGUCACAUCUUUUUUGGUUAUUGUGCUUUAUUUUUCUAAUUGUUCUCUUCCUUGUAAAGCUCUUUUUUACUAUGUGAAACUUAAAAAUUAUUUUCCACAUUUAUUUAGAAUCAAGUAUCAAAGUAAUGAUUGAAGAACAAGGAAAAUAAAGAUAAUAGUUUCCCUCCCAUAACCUGCCUCCCAACUGUUAAUUGUUCCUUUUGCCUUUUUGUAUCAGGUGAAAAGUUAAUGGAGGAGUACUCAAAGACUUGUCCAAUUAAAUUAGGUGAAUAAUUUUUGCCUCUUUUAUGUCAUUGUGAAUUAAUACAAAUAUAUUAGUUCUCCAAUUAAAAAAAAAAAAAAAGUGAGCUUAAGUAUAUUAAUCAAUAAGCCUGUAAGGCAACUGUGGCAAAGAGCAGGGAAACCAGGUCACAAAGAAGCCAGCAAUGAUUCCAUGUUCAGAACUCAGCUCCUGGAUUCCAGGCUGAUGCCAUGUGCCGAGCAGAGCACACAGUCUUGCUCUCCUCUCUUGAAAAGGAUGGAGAAGGAUGCACCAACCACACAACUAUUAAACUGCAUACAUUAUUUAUGGGGUAACAAAUAUGCUGUUCUCCUAGUUUCCUCAUCUAAAGUAAAGCACUUCUAAAUGUGAAUGUUUAAAUGCUGCUUGUGCAAUCCAUAAUUGCUAAAUUGAAAUUAGUACCUCAAGGGUUUCAUCUGACCUAAUCUGAAUUCUAUGAACCGAAAUACUGGGAAAUCAUUAGAAUAUUAAUCUUUCCAGGAAUACUUUGGGCUAACCCAUAAUAUGGAUCUCAAAUUGUUACUACAAAUAAAUGCUGACAACAACAAAAAUAAAUCUCCAUCUGUUACCUAACGCAAACUUUGAUAGUUUCAAGUGAUAUUUAGAAGUAGGUAGAUGUAGCGGAAGAAAAUACUUGCAAUAUUUUUUAGUCAUACACUUCACGUUCAUUUGACCUUUUAUUUUCUGCAGCCUUUAUUUCCAGUACUAUUUUCGCUCCCUUUGUGGAAGUGCUUGUUUGCAAAUAUGUGCAUGACUAAAUUCUUGGCCAGAGUUUCUGCCAAAAUAAUCAGAUGCCUGAUUUGAAGUGUGCGUUUCCUUGAUAUUAAAGGCAAAAAGAAGAAAUGGUCUCAAACUGCCUGGAUGAAAUAUAUUCAUACAAUACUAUCAGAGAAGAUAGCAAAUGAAUAAAGACAAAUAUGAAACAAAAUUAGGACAGGAAAUGUAACAACUAAAGGUGAUGUGACAUUGAGAUCUAUAAAAUCAUAAACUGUACGGAAGAAAGGGAGAAGGGAUCAGUUGUUUGUCUCGUUCUAGCACAAGAUGUGAGGGUUAUUUUGAUAGCAAAAGUUGAAGCAAUUCUCCACAAGAUGUGUACUUAAUCUGAGGAAUUCCCUGCCAGAUGUGAUGUGGGUAGUAAGCACUUAUGGAAGGUCAGUUGGAACGUGGAAGCGUUUAUGUAGGAGAAAUCCACUGAGGAUUACUAAAUGGACUGACAAUGCCAUUUACUCAGAAGAUCCUUGAUCUGCAAAAAGUUGAUGACUGUGACAGUAUAUGGGGGAAGUGUUACAUGUAUACAUAAACUUUUCCUGCUCAGGAAGCAUCAGCUGUUGGCCACAGCAGCAGUGAAUGAACUAGGUGAACCUUUGGUUUCAUCCGCUGCAGUUGGUGUACUGUUUGAUGUAGGAUAUGGCAUUGUAGGAUAUGAAAGCAUUUUCCUGCUCAGUUCCAGUAAAAUCUAAGCCCUAAACCCAGAAAAAGUAGACAGGAGGAUUCAAACUGCAUGUGUAACUUGCUUAUAACCUUAUGGUUCACAACACUUUCUUCAAUUUUAUUUCUGAGGAACCAAGCAAAAAAUCUUUAUUACCUAUAUGCAUUUUCCUUGCUGCCAUUUCUUGUAUACUGACACUAUCGCAACAGGAGUAAACUGAGUAGUGGCGGGGGGAAUAGACAGCUUAGCAAAAGAUUAUACAUUUUUGGAGUUUUAUUUUUAGGAGAGCUGUGCUGGAAGUGAGAGUUCAUUUUCUGCUUCUGGCCUCGCUUUUUUUGCUGUGUGAUCCUGCAGUGAAGUCACUUGUCUGGUGCCAACUUGCUAUGUCUGAAAUUCAGCAUAAUUUCUGGAUCACAGCAUUAGGUAGGACAAGGAGAAAUGAAAUGCAUGAAGCUUAUGCAUGAAGAUCAGAAAAAAAUAAUUAGGAACUUGAAACAAUUUAGAAAAUAGAGGCAACAGAAUCUUUAGAAUAAUAGCAAAGAAAGACAUUAUAGAGUGAAACUGACAGGGCUGUGAGUCUGGACCAGUUUAGUAUAUUCUAGCUCCGUUCCCUGCAAGGUGGACGGCAGAGCUAGCUGCAGAGCCAGGCUGGGAGGUGCAGGGGGCAGGCACUGUAUUCAUAUGCACAGCCAGUCUUGUCUGCACAGGAAACUGGGUGAAUUGUUAGUUUACUUCUGAAUUUUUGGUAUUAACUGCUCUCAGAAAGUACCCUUGUGAAUAUUUAUGCUUGGCACCAUUCUGAUACUCUGAAUAAGAAAAACGUCUGUUCUGGAGUUUGCAGAAAGGCAGUGGGAAAUAAAGAGGUCAGUGGUGCAUGGACAACGAUUGAGAGUUGCAAUGGAAAGGAAAGAAAGAGCAGAAUUUGGAUGAGUUUUAGCCUUUGGGCGGAAGUAAAAAUUAGGAGGAGAUGACACAUCAACCUCAGGCAGCCCAUUGGUUAAGUGAGAGAAUCUGCCACUGUUUGACUGUAGCUAAAUCCCAGAGUAAGCGGGCUUUGUUCAUUUCAGCAAGUAGGACUAAGCAUCCAAAGGCCUCAGUCUAAGAAUGGUGACCUGGCAGCUGAUCCCAGGGCAUUUUUGUAUUUCCAAGAUAUCUAUAUUUAAAAGAAAUGAUGGGAGAAUUGUAAGGAGUUCUUGGGACUUAUGUUUUGCUUUCAUCAUCCUCUUCUCCCUUUCUUUUUUCCUCUUCUUCUCAAAUAUGACGAUCCUCUUUUUCUUAUAUUUUCACUGUGCCUUUUGAUGUUUCUAUAUAGCAUUGUUUUGCUUUACUUUUGCAAUUCUUGUCUGAACAAAAAUCCUGUUUUUGCAGCACAUAGAAAUUGUUUGCUUUGAGAAUCACUAGCUAUGUUCAUCUAAGCAGGAGUUUGAUGCUUUCACUGGUAUGGUAUUUAAACACUUUUAAGCAUCAUUUUAAGUAUAUCCUGAAUUUCUCCAAACAUGUAUCUUACAAUGAAGGCGUGCAGUUCUUUUGAAACUUCUGCAGUGAACGUGGUUUAUAAAAGUAUCUUCAUGCAGUAAUGUCUAGAAGUGAGGAUCCUUAUCAAAAAUGGUCUGGAAUUAGGUUUAUUUUAAAAAGGAUCCUUUAUCACAAAAUCACAGAAUGGCCUGGGUUGGAAGGGACCUCAAGGAUCAUGAAUCUCCAACCCCCCUGCCAGGCAGGGCCACCAACCUCCCCAUUUACUAGACCAGGUUGCCCAGAGCCCCAUCCAACCUGGCCUUGAACACCUCCAGGGACGGGGCAUCCACAACCUCUCUGGGCAGCCCGUUCCAGCACCUCACCACUCUCCUGGUAAAGAACUUCCCCCUAACAUCCAACCUAAAUCUUCCUUCUUUCAACACAAAACCGUUCCCCCUUGUCCUGCUGUUAUCUACCCUUUCAAAGAGUUAUCCAUGUAUUGUGGAUGAAUUCUAAGUAGAUUUUGCCUGAUGAACCUUUGUUAGGGAUUCUAUUGUUGCUGUCAUACAGUAUUUAUUAUGAUUUUCUGUAUAUAGAUGAACUUGUGCCCUAUGAUCGUUGUUAUCAUGUGAGCUGUAGUUCACAAACUUCUUGAAUACUUUUGUUCAGCACCCUAGUACUACUUUCUUCUCUUUUAUUAAGAGUGAUCUCACAAUGGUGUACUAUGAAGACUUGUUAGCAUAAGUUUGGGCUCAAUAAGCAUUACUAAAAUCUAUCCCAAAACAAUCAGGAAAAUGAACAAAUGUAUGAACUACACCUCUUGUUUGAAAGCUUGCAAUGGAAAAAGUUCCAGAUCCAACGAGUGUCUCACAACAAUUUCAGAAGAGUCUGAAAGCCAGGACAGACAGAAAAAGGAUUCUGCAGGGAUGCUUAUGUUACCAUGAUGCUUUUGGUCUGUGAGCAGAGAGUUCUGGACUCCCAGUCAGACAAAGCUGCUUUUUCCCCUCUUCACAAGUUUCUGAUAAUAAAUAUACUUUGAACAGAAGUACCAUUUUCCACAUGACACUGUUUUCCUACUUGGAAUGGGGUUUUAUUUUAUAAAUGUUUUCCAUGUUGGAAGUGCAGACUGUCUACAUUCAUCAGCUGCUCUUGCUCCUUCUCUCCAGAAUCCUUCAGUCUUCACAAACAUACAAAUAUGAGAAGAGAAAUGGGUCCCUUGAGUUUCUUUGGUCUUUGCUUGUGAUAUUUCACUAGGGAGAAAUUUACUGAACCAAAUUAACUGAACCAUGAAUGAGCUGCUUCAAAUACUUCUCAUGCUGUUGGAUUUGCUGCUGGAUGGCUAACGAAACUGCCUUGUGUUCUGUCACCAGGAGCUGGGCUACAGAAUCCAACAGGGCAGUGCAGUGGAAGUGUACUGAAGCCAGGUUUGUUUUGCCCAAGCAAAUUUGAUCUGCUUUUGUCAAGAAAAUCCAACAAACGUGGAAAAUAUUAUUUUUUAUUAUAAAUGUUAGAUUUGUGGGCUUGAUAAGUUGGAUCAAUGAGAUUUUUCCAAAAGAAGUGCCUAUUUUACUUAUUGAAAUCUCAUCUUCCAGAAGUGGAAAUUUAAGGAUUUUGUUUGUGGCAUUUGCUGGGAUGAAAACAGAAAAAUCCUCUGUAAAGGAAAAAUCCUCUGUUAAAGGUGAGGAUGGGAUCAUUAAACAAUGGACAUAUUAAAUCUGACAGCCUGGAAAGCACAAACAAAGAAUUAAGAGUUCAGUUGCCAGAUGGUGAAAAAUAAGUUCUUCAUAGUUGAUCACGCAGCAGCAAGGCUAACAAAGAGCCUGCAGAUUGCCUUUUGAAAUCAGUGGGAGCUGCGAGCCCUUAGUGCCUUUCAUGGGUUGUGACUGGUUUGUGGGCUUUCACCUCAGGAGCUCCCUGAGCCUGCCUAAUGCUUUAGAAACUUUAGUCCCCUUACAGCUUUGCCUGCUGACAUAGCUUCUGAGCUUUAUUACUGUUAACAGGUUUUAGAUCUCUGAGUCCUUUCAUGUCCAAGAAGUGAGUAUGAACUGCAUGGUAUAUGUAUAUACAAUAUUACUGAAUUACAACUGCUUUGCUGGAAAUGAGAUGAAAGUUAGCUGGCUAAUUAUUGGAUCUCAGCGUGUGGAAGCUUUCCUGUAAGAUUCACAUAAGGAGUUAUCUCAUAGCGGGCUUGUCCCUUCUAUGACAAAUGUUGAAUUUGAUCAUGCUGAGUUUGGCUCCUUACUAAGUAGGAUGAUUCACCAAGUUUGCACGUAGCCUGGGUAUAGCUUAGAUGAGAAAGGACAGUAAAUCACUAAAUUGAAUUAACACAGAGUCCUGAGUAAGUGCAUCUUGUGAGAUGAUACCACUAAAAGCACUGUAUGCUGACCAUCUAAACCUGGAUGGUUUUAUCCAAGGUACAUCUAGGUAAAGAGCCUGGAGGUACCUUGCACCCAGGUAAUUAGCGGUACUUCUUGGGAUAUAAACAGUGGAGUAUGCUUGUGGAUAUAACAUUAGCUGAUUGGUGAAGUUACUAAUUCAAUUUCCUUGUUUGUCACAGACAAGGUUAGCCUCUGUAGCCUCUGUUUUGUGUUCUGCCACUUCAGUGUUAUAAACCAGUCACCUUUGGGAAUAACUCAGAUAACAUGAAGAUAAAUGUCAUAAUUCUUGUGUUUUCUAAUGUGUAUUAGAAAAAGUAAGGUAGUGCUGAUAGCUGUUACCCAGUUUAACAGACAACAGCAGUAAAGAAUAAAUCUGCUGGUAAAUGACAUGGGCUUAUAGAAGAUAGCUUUCAAAAAUACUUUGUUACAGACACUUUACCACAAGAGAAAGAAAGCUGCUGUUUGCUGUCCAGAUUCUAUAAUCUGCAGUGCUUCUGAGUGAGUCACCUACCCACCAAAGGGUAACACAUUAGCUAGCUGGAAAAAGUCAGGACAACAUCUCUAAUGAAAUCCCUGGUAGGCUUGUAUAGCUGUUUUGCAAUGGUUUAGGAAUACGGAAAGAAAAGAGAUUCUUUCAAUUUAAAAUAUAGCAGUUAGUGUAAAAAUGAAAUUGCUGUGUUUAUGGUGUGUUGCUUUUAAGUGUAAAUGCUUAGAUUGAGACUGUCAAAAGGCUGGAGCUUCUCUCCUACGAAGAAAGGCUGAGGGAGCUGAAGACUAGCUGGAUGGAUUAGCUCCAUUAGUGACUGGAGCUAAUUAAAAAACAAACAACAACAACAACAAAAAAGCAAGAAGACAUGUCACUGAAGGUGGAGACACUGAGAAUUAGAAAUUAUGACUCCUAGAGAUACUAGUGGUGGUUGCUUUUCAGCUGGUGAGGAUCCCUGCUGAGAUUUGCUGGAUAGGGAUGGUAUGCUGCUUUGGUGCCUGGAUGUGCACCACCAUACUUUGUAGGGAAAUAACUCACUGCAAUUUUACUGAGACAUACACAGUACUGGUGAAGGUGCCACUGCUGCCAAGGCAUGGUCCUGGGAAUAGUACAUCCAUGGAGGUUACAGCAGAGAACUCAGAAGUCCUGUGGCCCCAUUCCUGAGCAGUGCUGCUGUGAGUCUUGCACUCAUCUCAUUCAGGUUACUCAGCUAAUGUGAAAAUUCACUUUUCUUUCCCCUUGGUUAGCUUGCAGACUUAGCGAGCUGAAAUUACACACGCUGAAGUCAGAUAAGUACUAAGUCAUCAGACAACGUAGGAAAGAAAUGAGAUCACAGAAUCAAUCAGGUGUUUACUCCCUGAAACUCUGCAUUUGAAACUCCAAAGAGAAGCAUGACAGAAAUUUAAAACAGAAGUUAGCUAGAGACUUGUAUAAAGCAUUUAUGUCUUUCAACAGCAAUGAUUAAUUAAAAAUUAUAUUUCCAUUUGCUCAAGGUUAUUCUGUUAAAAAUAUCAACAUAGCCAGCUCAAAUCUCCUUUACUUAUCUAUUAGCAUAAGAAAAAAAUAUCUUUCAAAGCACUUGGAAAGCUGAUUUUUAUAACCUCUGUGUUCAGUUCACCAGCACAAAGUAUGUAGGUUCAGAACUUAAAAAUUCUCCAUGUAAUUACAAGCCAGUCAUAUUUGGCUUCAUGGAAGUAGCUGAGAAAACCUAAUGAGACAGGUGGAAUCAUGUUCCUCUUUAAUGAUUGAGAGGUGACAUAGCAGAGCCAAAACUUCUUAUGAGUUCAACGUGGGGGAAAGUAAUGGUUUGAUAUCAAUCCAGAAAUCACAUUCUUUUAUAUUUAGUUGCCCAGAAGAGACAUCAGUGUCAGCUGAACAGCGUGAUAGCCAUUUUUGCUACUUGGUAAGUAGCCACCCUUGCUGAACACAGCUAAUAUGCAAUAAGGACUAGAACAGCAUCAGAAUGAUGCAUCUUUCCAACCAUUCUGUGUGAACUAUACGUGUGCCAAAGGUGUAGUUGAAGUACUCAGGAGCACAGUGGCCAACAUUGGUGGUAGGUGGACGGUUGGACUAGGUAGUCAAAGAAGUCUUUUCCAACCCUAAUGAUUUUAUGAUUCUGUUCUAUCAUUCUAAGGCAUGUAAUCAGAAAUAUCGCGCAAUCAGUCAUAGAAUGGCUGUGUGAGUAAAAUCCCAAUGGCAACUCUGAAAGCCCAUGCCCAGUUAGCUGUGUUCAGACAUGCAAGAAAAAGGGAGGCUGAACCAGGGCCUGAUCCUGUAAUACUCUGGGUAGGAGCAGGGGUACUCCAGGGGGUAUGGCAGCAACUGGAUGCAGUUGCAGAUCAGAAUCUCAUGAUGUUCUCUGUAAAUGCAAGCAGGCUGCAGGGUCUGAAAAGGGGGAAACAUAAAUGUGCAAACAUGAAGAUUAUCCCUCUGUGCAGAGUGGAAUUUCUGCCUAAGAAUUCAAUUUUGCAUUGUCCUCAUAACUACUAUAGUUUCUCAAAAGCUGCUUUCCCAUAUUGUGCAUAGGUGGUGUUUAUAGCACUAAGUCAUGCUCCUGAUUCAACUUGGCACGUCUAGAAUCUGUCAUAUUUUGUAGGGCAAAGAAAGAGGGACUGCUAUUCAUAUGUAAAGAAUUAAAGACUCAAAAUGGGAGACAUAUCUUCUUAUAAAACAGUAGUUCUUGCUUAAAAAGUUCUCCUUUCCAGAAUGACUUUUUAUUAUAUUUAAAUUCAUUUUGCAGAAAAAUUACAAUUUUUAGGAUUUUUUAUUUUUUUUCUGUGACAAUAGAUACAAAGCUAUUUGGAUGUGGAGUCUCCUUUAUAUACGAAGAUCUGAACAAGAUUUAGAGUACAUAACUGCUCUGGAAUGCCAGUACUUAAGGAGCAUAUUAUGAUAGUGGACACACAUGCUCAACUGCAUCCAUCUAUCUGUGCUGGCAAAGAGGUUACCACCUCCAGUUUUUUAUCACCUCCCAGCAGACAGAGAUUACCACCCUUAAGUUCUGUUGCCAAUGGUUCACUGCCUAUUUGUUGCAGGCAAAGUAAGAGAGACUGCCUCAAAUCACCUGUUUCAACUGUUUAUAAUAACCUAAUUUAUUUUGCUUUAAGCAAACUAGGGGAUGUUUACUUGAACUGAUCAAUUGUAUGUGUUAGAUAAAAUGGUAGCUUUCAGGAAAUGAUGAGUAGCUGGGAGAGUGCUAUAGGCAAUUACCUUUGACUUGAGGAAGGAUGCUUGUUCACAGCAUGAGACACACACAUACAAUGUAUCAAUAACUUCCAGAAGACCACUUUACUGAAUUUCUUAAUUUCUUUGGAUUUUGAAAUGUACAUCAGAUAAAUUGGUUUGUAUGUAACACUCUCUCAAUCCUACUGUGAAUAUUAUAGUCUUUUCACUGUAGUAUAGAGAUGCGGAAAUUGUACAGCUACAAAUAGAGCCUAUGCAUUAUAUUGUCAUAUUCACAGCAAGCAACAUAUAAAUUUCUGUAGCCAGAAAUAAUUUUGAAUUUUCCCCUUUUGUUAAGCUACAGAAAGCUCUGUAAUUAUCCCCAUGUGCUUUCUUGUCUCUGUAAACCUUCAUUUAGUUCAUCCCUAGUAUCCAACUUGGUAGCACAAUCAAAAGGUUACAGGGAUGAACAUAAUCAUUUGCUUCUGUCAUACCUGAAACACCAAGUAGAUUAAUUUACCCACUUUGCUAUUUGUCCUUAUGUCCAAGCUCAGCUUAGAAUCCUCAGAGCUGAAUUUUUAUUAAAAAAAAAAGAAGUAUAAUAAUCUCAUAGUUUAUGUGGACAAGUCACAGAAGGUAAUGUUAUAAUGCACAUAGAACACAACAUCGUGCUUUCUUUAUCC
rnacentral:lncRNA from 1 species